AAACUCUAGUACCCAGGCAAGAAUGAGCUAGGAAGUCUGAAAACUUUGGAAUUGGAAGACACUAUGGAAGAUAUUGGGGCAAAGGAAGGAUGUAAGACAAGGCUGAACAGCUUAUCUUAAAAUUCUUGAAGCUGAUAUUGUGGGAAAGUCUGCUGGUCAGGAAGAUGAAUGCUGCAGCUCGUUUUGGACGACUUACACAUUAGCGUGGUAAAUGGAAGUAAAGUACUGAAAAGUGAAUAAUAGGCUUUCACAAAUUGAAACUACAUGUGAAAAAGGCAUUUUUUGAACCAUCUCCUCCAUAAAUAUCUACUAUGUUUCCAGACUGGCUCCACAGGUCUUGUGUUGGCUCUGAAAAUGGCUGCAUGGCAGUCCUUACUUGAGGACUAUGUCAUUUCAUCUCUAUGCCUCCAGUCCCCAGAAGAAAAGCUUGGAAGGAAUGUUUGAUGUCGUCUAUUCAAAUGUUUGAACUAUUCUGCUACUCCCCUUGCAAUGACCCUGGUAAGCAGGAAUUAAUUAUCACAGAAGGGAAGGUGGCAUUAACUAACAAGAUGCCCGUAGGAUACCACUUGGUUUUGUCACAAGAAGCAGUUUGAAAAGCCCAGCAACCAUAGCCUACUGAUGGAGAUAAAGGCUUCUGAAUCUGGGGAUUCUUUCAGGGAAUAUCAAAUCUGUAGGAUUUUUUUUAUUUCUGAAGCCCCUCUGACUGAAGUUUUGAAAACAUUUUGAAGAGUACCAAACUCAAACGGAUAAAAGUGUGAAUCCUGAUUCUAUAACCUCUGAGUUGUUAUCCUGUCAUAUUAUUUAAAUUAGCAUAUGGAAGUACAUAUCAACCUCCAGAGUCUAACAGAAAGGAGAUGCAGAGAGAAUAAGGAAGAAUCAGUCUAAACAGGCAGCAACAGGGGGAAUGGGGAACACACUGGUCAAGAACUAGAAUUUCUGAGUGUGGGCUGCAACUCUGCUUCCUCGGGCUGAGCCUUUGGAAUUCCCACCAUCUGGACCUAGCCUUGUCUCUUUAUCUUCCAUAUUGCAGCUGGAGUGAGAUUUGUAGAAUGUGGAAUGUGAUUUCUUAGAACUUAUCAGGGUUCCUAAUAUAGGAUGAAGUCUGAGUAGCAACUCUUACACAAUUUCCAUGAUCUGGCUCCUGCCUUCUAUCCCCUGUCCAUUCAGGCUCUGGUGAACCACUUGCAGCUCCCACAUUUGCUGAUUUCAUUUCUAGGUAGGCCUUCACAUAAGCUGUUCUCUCCACCUGGAAUAACAACCCCAUUUUAACUCAUUUCACCUAGGUAACUCUUCUUGUUAUUUGGCUCUCAAUUCAUAGGCCAUGUCCUCUGUAAGACCUUUCCCACCCUGCCAGCACUGGGCUGGAACUUGUCUUUGGCCUUAUCAGAGCAUGUUCAUGGCCUGCUCAUUCCUCCCUCUUCUCCACUGGCUGUGUCAGCUCUUUGAGUGCCUGGACUGUCUUCUCUGCUCUCAGGGCUGGUUCAGCACCUGACCAAACUCAAUAAAGAUUUGGUGAUUACAUGUUCUCAAGGUGAGAACUAGACAGAGUCCUGCUGAAUUUGUCACCAGAAGAGGUCUUUAGUUGUAGCCCCUUGUAUCUCUCUGUCAUUAUACACAAAUAAUACUCUUGCACUGCAUUCAUAAUUUUUUCUCAAAUCUCUUUUUCUCACUUGGGGACCCAGGAACUGGGUCACAGAGAAUCUGGCCUUCCUCAUCUAUAUGGGUAAUCAUGAGGCGAAGGUUAAAAAUUGACUUUUCAUUUUGGUCACGACUGGAUCCCAAUUACCUCCAGAAUGAAGAGAUGUGGUGUCCUGUGAGUUCAGGGCUAGUUCCAUGUGUGGGGUUCUGUAGUAGGAGAGAAUAGUCACUGACUAUGUGUUCUGUUUUGCUUUUUGUGUUUCAUGUAAAAUAGCUCUUUGGGCAAAUGUCAGUCUUUCAUGACAUAGACUGGAGAUGAUUUAAAUAAGAACACCAGUCAUUCCCAUGCAUUCUCCUGUCACUCUAGGAACAAGUCAUCAUAGAGAGGACCUGGGGAUCAACACCUCUAGAAAUGAGGACUGCAUGGACAGAGGCACACAUUUAGCAUCGGGCUUCAGGCUCCUCCCUUUCCAGCAACUCCUCUUCUCUGCUCAGUUUCUCUGGUCCCUCAGUCAUAGUCUCCCUCUGUGCAUCUAAGGAUCAAGGCCCCCACCCUGCUCUAUCCCCAAGUAUAGACUGCUCCCUCGAAAGUAUUUCAUGCUGUGUUGAUCUCUCUCUAAACUCACUGCUUAUAAACUCUCUUAUCCAGUCUAGCUUCCUCACUGGCUGCAGGACUGACCACUUAAAAAUCCAAUUUAUUCCAUUUUUAGAUAAUUUAAUGAUCUCCAUUGCAGUUUUGAUAGAACUACAUAGAUUUCUUAGCUUAGCUUUCAAGAAGGGUGUCAAAAUCUCCAUGAGUUUCAUGUGUUAUUUGAAAAACUGGUUUUUACGUUAUAAUAUAACCUUAUAUUUAGAAAACAAAAAAAAAGUACCUGUUAUUUUCUGAACCAAGUUUCAGGAAAUAAAAUAGGGCCAAUCAUGUGGGUUAGUGUGUUCUGUAGAAAAGCACAUACCCCCAGAAAAAUAAAAUUAUUAAAAAAACAAUAUAGUGGGGUGGAGAGAGAAAUUUAGUUGGUAAUUUGUGUUCCAAUGUUUUUAGGUUUUUAUUAAAGUGGUUUUAAUGACAAGUGAACAAGAGGGCUUCCUUUAAAGAGGGGUAACUGGAAUGGCCUCUGAAAGAUUAGAACUAUUUUACUUUUCACAGAGGCCAACUUUUAAGAAAGAAAAGAAGCAAAGCAAUGUAGAUGGGCUAUGAUGUCUUAUUUGCCCUCUAGCACUGAGAGCUAAUGAGUUUGUUUAUGCUUGACAUUCAGUUCUUAAGACUACCAGGGUACCUCCUUCAAACACUGUAUUCUAUUUGUUUCUUUACAGAUUUGAUUGUUUAAUGUAUAAGAUAUUAAUAAAAAUAAUUUGCAGAAACUUACAAUAAAAGAAAUACAACAACAAUAAUAACAAAACACAAUUGAAGGUAUGGAGGAAAAGAAAAGAAGACAGAAGAAAUUAGAUCCUUAUGUAUGAAGUUAUAACUCACAGCUCCUUUCCUUAUAACAGAAAAGGUAUAUUGAGGCAUCGAAUGAAAGGAUUUGAGCCAGUUCAUGCAGUGACAUAGCAGUAGGGCUGUUUGGAGCCAGUAGACCUGCCUCCCAUAAUGCAGUUGGUUAGGAUCAAGGAGCACAGGGACAGGUGAAAUGCAGGGGCAGUGUGAACACUGGGACCAGAUAAGAAGCCACAGGUCUGGACAUGGGUAGAAGCAAAGAGCAGGCAAUGAGUGCAAACCCUAGCUCACAGACACCAGACAAACUAUUUCACUUCUCAUAGUAUAGGGUAGAACAUAAAACUCAUGUGCUUUUAAAGAAAAACAUAAAAUUUAUAAUAUCCUUAGACUUUUUCAGAGUAUCAAGGUUACUACUAAGGUAGAAGAGUUCAGAGGUUCUGACUCCCCAAAAAAGAUUCUACCAUACUCAAAUAAGUAGUCAAUAGUCUUUUUUUGUUUCCAUUCUCCUUCAGAUUCAGCAAGUGUACAAAGCAGUUCAUGGCAACUACACACAACUGUGGUAAAGACUGAGCAAAAUGAUGGAUGAAAACCACUCGGAAACCAGAAACUAUGUGUUGUAGCUCCAGUUUUGCCACUUACUUGCUAUAUAGGCCAAUAAUUUACCCUCUCUGAGCUUGUCUCUACCACACACUGGCUAAGUGACUGAGCAAGUCAGUGGAAUAUUUUGAAAAGGGUUUAAUAACCCACUUUCUAGUAAAGUAGUUAGUCUAGCACCUGACUCAUGCCUCCAGGCAAUUUGUACAUAAACUGGUAGUAUUUCUAUUUUGAAUUCCAAGAUCCUGUGCUUAGAAAGCCUUUUCUUCCCCUUCCUUCUCAUACGAUAUCUCACAUAUUCUGACUCCCUGACAGCCACCUCUGCUCUCCCUGGUUGGGCACAGUGCAUCCUCAAGGCUCCUUCAGCACCUGGUAUGACCCUUGGGCACAGAUGUUAUAGAUGUGUGUCGCCAUUAUCUGUAUGACUCAUCUAACUCAGGAGAGGACACUGAGGGAUUCUGAUCAGUAUCUCUGGUUCCUACCCUGGUAUUUGGCACACAGCAGGCCCUCAAUCAUGUUUGCUGAAUUGCAUCAAACUGUGGGAUUCCUGUGAAAAAUAUCAUGACAUUCAGAGUAAAACUCUGGCACUGAAAGUGAGGUAACAUUAAUCUGUGUUCCUGCCUAGCCAGAGCAAUGCCUCUGUGCAAUGUCAGAGUUAUAUAUGCUCCAGGAAAUAAAAGUGCCAGACCAUAAAAGUCUAUUUUCUGCAUUUGUCUGGUUCUUGUGGAAGCUCCACUCCAUACUUGUAGAGCAUGACUUUUCACGAGAAAUUGCCAGCUUGAUUGUGGGGAAAGAAUCCAGAUCUAAUUGUUCUUUGUAAGCCUGGGACAGAAGGUAUUGUUGUUUGAAAAAUGGAACUGUCUAAAUUAAUUUUACUGAAACAAACAUCUUUGCCAAAUAAAAGCAAUGCAUAAUAACAACCCAUAAUUAAAAGCAAAAUGAUACCUUUUGUUACAUCGGGAAGGCAAAUGUGUUCACCACAAAAAAGAGCAAAAUGUUAUUUUCGUGGAAUUCCAGGGACACAUCUUGAAGUCUGAUUUGAGGUGUGUGUGUGUGUGUGUGUGUGUGUGUGUGUGUGUGUAAAGGCUGGAAGAGAUGCCUGUCUUUUUUUUCUUUUUAAUUUGUUGCUAUUGAACAACAAUCUCUGAUUUCUUAAUAAUGUAGCCAGAAUAUUCUAAAGUACUAUUGUACUUUUCAUAGAUAGAAACUGGGAAAGUGGAGUGAAUUAACAUUUCUUGAACUACCCUUAUUUUUGUUCCCUAGGAAAAUAAAGUGCUUUUAACUUCUUUGAUGAUCUCUCUCUCUCGCUCUCUCUUUCUCUCUCUGUCUCACUGUAAAAUGGCAAAUCUUUUAUAGAAAACAGUUACCAGGAAGUAAAAUCCUUCCAUUGGACAUUUACUAUGCAAUACAUAUUUUAAUUUAUGUCUACAUAUUCUAUCCUUAUACCUUUCUCAUAAUGCAGAUAUUUAACUUCACUUUUGAAAUGGGGAAACCAAAGCUCAGGAAGGUUAAGUAAAUUGCCUAAAUAAUAUAGCCAGUAAAUGAUAGAUUUAAGAUUUAAACUGAGCUUCUGACUAUGAAGACUGUGCUCCUUAGUAUAUAAUAUUAUUAAGUAAUAUUAAUGAUAUCAAAAUAAAAGAAAAAUACAUACAUCUCAAUAGCUUAACAGCUAUUUUCAUUUCUUCCAUGG